CAGCCCUCCCCGCCCCUCCCCGGCUCCUCCCCGGCCCCUCGGGGGCCCGGCGAGCCGCGCCCCCUGCGAGGCGAGGAGCCCGGGGCCGAGGAGCGCCAAGCCCGUCCCCGCUGAGUCGAGAGCUUGCACCCGCGUCGGCUCCGUCAAGAAUCCGCAGGUGACGGAUCUUUUCGCCAGUAGAGCCCCCCGCCCCCCGAAACACAGCCACAAUGGACGCGAUCAAGAAGAAGAUGCAGGCGAUGAAGAUGGAGAAGGAUGCGGCCAUGGACAAGGCCGACACCUGCGAGGGGCAGGCCAAGGACGCCAACUCCCGCGCGGACAAGGUCCUUGAGGACGUCCGCGACCUCACGAAGAAGCUGUCCCAGGUUGAGCAGGAUCUCUCCACCACCAAGAACAUGCUCGAACAGGCCAACAAGGACCUCGAGGAGAAGGAGAAGAACCUCACCAACGUGAGCACCCAUCCGCCCCCGUCAUGUAACUACCCCCAACCCUUCCCCUCCCCUCAUCGAUUGAUUCUCUUCUCCGCCCAGGCCGAGAGCGAGGUCGCCGCCCUCAACAGGAAGGUCCAGAUGAUUGAGGAGGACCUCGAGCGCUCUGAGGAGAGGUCCGGCACCGCCACCACCAAGCUCGCCGAGGCUUCCCAGGCCGCCGACGAGGCCAACCGUAUGUGCAAGGUGUUGGAGAACCGCAGCCAGCAGGACGAGGAGCGCAUGGACCAGCUCACCAACCAGCUCAAGGAGGCUAGGCUGCUCGCUGAGGACGCCGACGGCAAGUCCGACGAGGUCUCCCGCAAGCUGGCCUUCGUUGAAGACGAGCUGGAAGUCGCUGAGGACCGUGUCAAGUCUGGUGACGCCAAGAUCAUGGAGCUCGAGGAGGAGUUGAAGGUCGUCGGUAACAGCUUGAAGUCCCUGGAGGUUUCCGAGGAGAAGGCCAACCAGCGAGUGGAGGAGUACAAGCGCCAGAUCAAGACCCUCACCGUCAGGCUGAAGGAGGCUGAGGCCCGCGCCGAGUUCGCUGAGAAGACCGUCAAGAAGCUCCAGAAGGAGGUCGACAGGCUCGAGGACGACCUCUUCAACGAGAAGGAAAAGACGAAAGCUAUUUGCGAUGAUUUGGAUUCCACAUUCGCUGAACUCACUGGCUACUAAACAUUUUCAGAUACAACACAAAUCUCCUUCCUUGUCUCUUUCUCUUCUUUCUAUUCAACUUCUCCAUACGCUUUUCAAGUUUAUCUUUCGUCUGUCUCCUCCCCAUUAUAAAGAGAUCGCAUUUUUCUUUUACUUCUAAAAAACUAAAAUUAAGACCAUUUAAAGGUGAAAAGAUAUUUUUCAAUGUAGGGCUGCCACCGUAAACAAUUGAUUUGGUGCGAUCGUUUUAAAAUGUUCGACGCGUAAAAUCCUUUUCAUAGUAUCCAGUCAUGCAACUUCUUUAAGUCACCAUGUAAAUAAUGCUGUAGAAUAUUCUAAGCUUACUGUUAGCACCAACGAGAACCCGUGCUUUAAACCGUUGUCAUAACGGUCUUAAAGCAGGAAAAUUCUCAUGUUCGUUUGUUAGUUUUCAAGCGUUUUCAUCAAGUAAUAGCAUACAAAUAGGCCUCUUUUUCAUUUUGUGGCGUUUUUGGUGUUUUUGUGUUUCUUUUUUUAACGAAAGGACAAUACUCGUGUACGCUUUUUCCGUCUGUGAUAUUCUAUUCAUUUUGUCUUAAUCACGCACCGCAAAAAUUGUUUUAUUUUUUAAAAAAUCCACACUGUGACACGCUACUCGCAGCAGGUGAUCGCGCGGACAGCUCCAGCCAGACGAGCUUGGCAUCAACAAGGACCGCUACAAGUCCCUGGCCGACGAGAUGGACUCCACCUUCGCCGAGUUGGCCGGUUACUAAACGGACGUCCGCGCGAGCCGGCGCGGCUCACCAGCGCCCAGGCCGGCUGAAGACCAAAUCACCAUCACCACCAUCAUCACCACCAGGCAUCACCAUCGCACUGACAUUACAAAUAAAAACUGCUGCUGUCACUCUCUCUA